rnacentral:rRNA from 1 species
UACCUGGUUGAUCCUGCCAGUAGUCAUGUGCUUGUCUCAAAGACUAAGCCAUGCAUGUCUAAGUAUAAGUAUUAUACAGCGAAACUGCGAAUGGCUCAUUAAAACAGUUAUAGUUUAUUUGAUAAUCGAAUUUACAUGGAUAACCGUGGUAAUUCUAGAGCUAAUACAUGCUGGUGUGCCCGACUUUUGUGGAAGGGCGGUGUUUAUUAGAUAACAAGCCAAUAUUCCUCUGGUCUAUUGUGGUGACUCACAAUAACUGAUCGAAUCGCAAGGCCUAUGGCCGCGGUAAGUCAUUCAAGUUUCUGCCCCAUCAGCUUUCGACGGUGGUGUAUUGGACUACCAUGGCGUUUACGGGUAACGGAGGAUUAGGGUUCGAUUCCGGAGAGGGAGCCUGAGAAACGGCUACCACAUCUAAGGAAGGCAGCAGGCGCGUAAAUUACCCAAUCCUGACUCAGGGAGGUAGUGACAAGAAAUAACGGACCGGGGCCUUACGGCUUCGGGAUUGCAAUGAGCCGAAUUUACACCCCUUAGCGAAGAUCGAUUGGAGGGCAAGUCUGGUGCCAGCAGCCGCGGUAAUUCCAGCUCCAAUAGC